rnacentral:rRNA from 1 species
GUGGGGAAUCUUGCGCAAUGGGCGAAAGCCUGACGCAGCCAUGCCGCGUGAAUGAUGAAGGUCUUAGGAUUGUAAAAUUCUUUCACCGGGGACGAUAAUGACGGUACCCGGAGAAGAAGCUCCGGCUAACUUCGUGCCAGCAGCCGCGGUAAUACGAAGGGGGCUAGCGUUGCUCGGAAUUACUGGGCGUAAAGGGCGCGUAGGCGGACAGUUUAGUCAGAGGUGAAAGCCCAGGGCUCAACCUUGGAAUUGUCUGUGAUACUGGCUGUCUUGAGUACGGGAGAGGUGAGUGGAACUCCGAGUGUAGAGGUGAAAUUCGUAGAUAUUCGGAAGAACACCAGUGGCGAAGGCGACUCACUGGCCCGUUACUGACGCUGAGGCGCGAAAGCGUGGGGAGCAAACAGGAUUAGAAACCCCUGUAGUCC